rnacentral:rRNA from 1 species
ACCAGACUCCUACGGGAGGCAGCAGUGGGGGAUAUUGCACAAUGGGGGGAACCCUGAUGCAGCGACGCCGCGUGGGUGAAGAAGCGCCUCGGCGCGUAAAGCCCUGUCAGCAGGGAAGAAAAUGACGGUACCUGAAGAAGAAGCCCCGGCUAACUACGUGCCUGCAGCCGCGGUAAUACGUAGGGGGCAAGCGUUAUCCGGAUUUACUGGGUGUAAAGGGGGCGCAGACGGCGAUGCAAGCCAGGAGUGAAAGCCCGGGGCCCAACCCCGGGACUGCUCUUGGAACUGCGUGGCUGGAGUGCAGGAGGGGCAGGCGGAAUUCCUGGUGUAGCGGUGAAAUGCGUAGAUAUCAGGAGGAACACCGGUGGCGAAGGCGGCCUGCUGGACUGCAACUGACGUUGAGGCGCGAAAGCGUGGGGAGCAAACAGGAUUAGAUACCCUUGUAA